GGCUCAGGAUGAACGCUAGCGACAGGCCUAACACAUGCAAGUCAGGGGCAGCACAAGGAGCAAUCUGAGGUGGCGACCGGCGCACGGGUGAGUAACACGUAUGCAACCUGCCUGUAAGCGGGGAAUAACCCGUUGAAAGACGGACUAAUACCGCAUAAUACUAAAUUACUGCAUGGUAAUUUAUUUAAACAUUUAUGGCUUACAGAUGGGCAUGCGCAUGAUUAGCUAGUUGGAGAGGUAACGGCUCCCCAAGGCAACGAUCAUUAGGGGUUCUGAGAGGAAGGUCCCCCACACUGGUACUGAGACACGGACCAGACUCCUACGGGAGGCAGCAGUGAGGAAUAUUGGUCAAUGGACGAGAGUCUGAACCAGCCAAGUCGCGUGCAGGAAGAAUGUCCUAUGGAUUGUAAACUGCUUUUGCAGGGGAAUAAAGUGCAUCACGUGUGAUGUUUUGUAUGUACUCUGCGAAUAAGGAUCGGCUAACUCCGUGCCAGCCGCCGC
rnacentral:rRNA from 1 species